AUUUCUUGCCAUUCCAAAUAUUUAAGUCUGGGAGUGUGGUAAAGCUAAAAGCUGGCUUCACAAUCGGAAAAGUUCACAAUACAAGAAGAUGUUGAAUGCCCAUGAUGGAGCAGGCAUGGUGCUGGGAACAGGGGUUCAUUGCUCUACAAAGAUGAGCAAACCCAGUCUACUCCAAAACAUGCUCACAGGAGAGAAAUGAUGGAGAAAGCAUCUUAAGCCUUCUGCACUGAGCUGGGAUGGCGGGACAAAGGAAAAAGGAGUCCUUCUCAGUCUGGUCUGAUAGAGAUGAUGAGGCUCAGCUCCAGGGAGAUAAUAAUCUGUGAAUUACACAACCAGGAAUGCACCUUAGGACUAGAAGAGUAAGGGAUUUGUAGAGGUAGAGAAUGCCUGGCAGUGUGAUUACCGUAGGACCAAGCCACAGGGUGGCACCCAGUAGGAAAGAUACAUGGAGAAAGUCUUUACAAAGGUGCACCUAGAGAUAAUGCUCAGGUAGCUGACCAUUCCUUUCAGAUGAAACCCCUGCCUAGUUGUGCUUCCUUAGAGGGUUCUCAUUGAGUUUUAAAUAACUAAAUCAGAGGUGGUUUAGCUUCCCACUGACCACUUCUUAUUUUGCCACCUCCACUAAGUAGUUUACUUCUUUGACCCACCUAGAUAGCAGUGUGUCUUCUUUGAAUCACACUAUUAACGUGAUUUAUCUGGAAUACCUAGCUCUAUAUAAAUGCUUAAUUCUGACUGUGUUAAAAAAGACUACCUUAUGGAAAAGAAACCCUUACAAAAUGAAUCAGCUU
rnacentral:lncRNA from 1 species